UCCCUGGUGGUCUAAUGGUUAGGAUUCAACACUUGUACUGAUGUUAGCCCAGGUUCAAUCCCUGGUCUGGGAA
rnacentral:tRNA from 1 species